rfam:Triticum aestivum genome assembly, contig: Triticum_aestivum_CS42_TGACv1_scaffold_327889_4BS
GAAGUACUCCCUCCGUCCGAAAAUACUUCUCAGAGGAAUGGACGUAUCUAGACGUAUUUUAAUGUUAGAUACAUCCAUUUUUAGUCAUUUCUACGACAAGUAUUUCCGGACGGAGGGAGUACAUG